rnacentral:rRNA from 1 species
CCUACGGGAGGCAGCAGUGGGGGAUAGUGCACAAUGGGGGAAACCCUGAUGCAGCGACGCCGCGUGGGGGAAGACGGUCCUCUGGAUUGUAAACCACUGUCCCCAGGGACGAAGAUGACGGUACCGGGGGAGGAAGCGCCGGCUAACUACGUGCCAGCAGCCGCGGUAAUAAGUCGGGAGCGAGCGUUGUCCGGAAUUACUGGGUGUAAAGGGAGCGUAGGCGGGACUGCAAGGUGGGUGGCAAAUCUACCGGCUCAACCGGGAGCCGCACUCCAAACUGCAGUUCUUUAGUGAAGUAGAGGCAGGCGGCAUUCCUUGUGUAGCGGUGACCUGCGUCGAUAUUAGG